rnacentral:rRNA from 1 species
AUUGAACGCUGGCGGUAUGCCUUACACAUGCAAGUCGAACGGUAGAGGGGCAACCCUUGAGAGUGGCGAACGGGUGAGUAAUACAUCGGAACGUGCCCAGUCGUGGGGGAUAACGUAGCGAAAGCUACGCUAAUACCGCAUACGACCUGAGGGUGAAAGCGGGGGAUCGCAAGACCUCGCGCGAUGGGAGCGGCCGAUGGAAGAUUAGGUAGUUGGUGGGGUAAAGGCCUACCAAGCCUGCGAUCUGUAGCUGGUCUGAGAGGACGACCAGCCACACUGGGACUGAGACACGGCCCAGACUCCUACGGGAGGCAGCAGUGGGGAAUUUUGGACAAUGGGCGAAAGCCUGAUCCAGCCAUACCGCGUGCGGGAAGAAGGCCUUCGGGUUGUAAACCGCUUUUGUCAGGGAAGAAAUCUUCUGGGUUAAUACCUCGGGAGGAUGACGGUACCUGAAGAGUAAGCACCGGCUAACUACGUGCCAGCCGCCGCUGUAACAC